GAUCAUGGCUCAGAUUGAACGCUGGCGGCAUGCCUUACACAUGCAAGUCGAACGGCAGCACGGGAGCAAUCCUGGUGGCGAGUGGCGAACGGGUGAGUAAUAUAUCGGAAUGUGCCCGGUCGUGGGGGAUAACGUAGCGAAAGCUACGCUAAUACCGCAUACGAUCUACGGAUGAAAGCGGGGGAUCGCAAGACCUCGCGCGAUUGGAGCGGCCGAUAUCAGAUUAGGUAGUUGGUGAGGUAAUGGCUCACCAAGGCGACGAUCCGUAACUGGUCUGAGAGGAUGAUCAGUCACACUGGAACUGAGACACGGUCCAGACUCCUACGGGAGGCAGCAGUGGGGGAAUAUUGGACAAUGGGCGAAAGCCUGAUCCAGCAAUGCCGCGUGAGUGAUGAAGGCCUUCGGGUUGUAAAGCUCUUUUACUCGGGACGAUAAUGACGGUACCGAGAGAAUAAGCCCCGGCUAACUCCGUG
rnacentral:rRNA from 1 species